AAAACACGAGUGGAUAAACUUUUUUUAGAAAAAAAAAWUUUUUCGAUUUUGAAUAUGUAUUU
rnacentral:tRNA from 1 species